rnacentral:rRNA from 1 species
AGAACGAACGCUGGCGGCAGGCUUAACACAUGCAAGUCGAACGGUUGUAGCAAUACAGCAGUGGCAGACGGGUGAGUAACACGUGGGAACCUUCCUAGGGGUACGGAACAACUCAGGGAAACUUGAGCUAAUACCGUAUACGUCCGUAAGGAGAAAGAUUCAUCGCCCCUAGACGGGCCCGCGUAGGAUUAGGUAGUUGGUGAGGUAACGGCUCACCAAGCCUACGAUCCUUAGCUGA